CUGGCUCCAGUGGUGGGGCGAUGCGUGUGCGCGAAACUUCGCUGUGAAUCGUGAUUACACCUGCCAAGUUUUGCAGUUCUUUAUUGCAAGAUUUAAUGCCAAUUCAGAAAAGAUGUGUGUUGGAUAUUUUAAGUAGUCUUCUUUGCUUGAUAUUUUUAUCAUCAUGUUUCCAUGCAGGAGUUCAACAAAUCAACAAAUUUCACAACAUACGACAAAGCUGAUGCAACACACAAACACAAUCCUGGAGGAACUCAGCAGGUUCUUUUGAAGACCCUGACCUGGAGUUACACACUGACUUUGGUUCUUUGUGGGAAUGGGACCCACUCUCAGGGUCUCACGACUGGCCACUAUUUGUUCGAUGUACCAAGGACGUGACCUAGAAGACUAGUGCAUCUUCAGGGUUCCAGGAUUUCGUGGCUCUGGAGGUGGGCAGACUCAAGGUUGGUUCCUUCCCAGGAAACUGGUGUGUCGAGGGAGUACACAGAAGAUCGAAAGCAGCGAGCUGGCUGCCGGCUGUGUGCCCAGAGACCCGAGUUGUUUGGGCGCAGAGCUCGGAAAAGGCGACGCAACAGACUUUUAACAUCAGAAUGGAUACAUCUUCUACUGCCUCCUUGAAGAUUGUUAUUCUGGUUGGAGCUCAGUUUUGAGGUGCCAAUCAUGUUUCUGUGCCUCACUCAAGCCGCCUUUCUUCGGGUGUAAACUAUAGAGAAGGAAUGUUUGCCAGCAAAUUAAUCAUUGUUUAAAGAUUUGGAUAAGAAUCCUUCAUCCUCCUAAAGUUAGGCUAAUUAUUAAUGUGUGGCUCUAUUGGACUCAAAGGAAUUUGUGUAAACAAUAACUUAUUUUAUUUAAACUUUACCAAAGAUUUGCUGAUGAUUUCAUCAAAAUACAAUGAUUUCAUCAAAAAUUUCUCCCAUUGAGAAACUAACCAUCUGAAGGGUUGAAACUUUACCUAGUUUGUCAUUGUUCCUUUACUAAUACCAUCCUUAAGAGUAUUUUUGUAUAAAAUUAUAU